CCUACGGGAGGCAGCAGUGGGGAAUAUUGGGCAAUGGGCGCAAGCCUGACCCAGCAACGCCGCGUGAAGGAAGAAGGCUUUCGGGUUGUAAACUUCCUUUGUCAGGGAAGAAGCAAGUGACGGUUCCUGACCAAUAAGCCACGGCUAACUACGUGCCAGCAGCCGCGGUAAUACGUAGGUGGCAAGCGUUAUCCGGAUUUACUGGGGGUAAAGGGCGUGUAGGCGGGACUGCAAGUCAGAUGUGAAAACCACGGGCUCAACCUGGGGCCUGCAUUUGAAACUGUAGAUCUUGAGUACGGGAGAGGCAGAUGGAAUUCCAAGUGUAGCGGUGAAAUGCGUAGAUAUUAGGAGGAACACCAGUGGCGAAGGCGAUCUGCUGGACAGCAACUGACGCUGAGGCGCGAAAGCGUGGGGAGCAAACAGGAUUAGAUACCCGAGUAGUC
rnacentral:rRNA from 1 species